AAAUCAAACUCUCUGGAAGACAAGUCCUGAGCUGACUGAGUACAAACAUUGAUCUGACUAUUCAGUAUUAACCUCACAACUGGAGUUAUUUUCAACCCCCUCAAACUUCCCUCAUUCCAGAACUUGGCUGGUUUCAAUUUUCAGGGGGUUUGUGCAAUUGCUAACAACAUUAGAGCCUUCUCUAUGCUUUUGUUUAAACACAUUUAACAGGAUUCUUGACUUUCUUCAACUCAAAAAUAUUCUCCUAAGGCACCUCCCGUGGCUCCAGAAAUCAACCCCAUUCUAUGUACAGCAUCUCUGACAACAGCAGCAGCACAAAUUCUGUCUCACCCAACCAACCUCUACAAUUUUCACAGUCAGAAAUACCAGCCAAAAAGAAACAAAUUUCAUACAUGAAAUAUAAUUUCUCAAGCUUUGUCAGUGCAAAACUUGUUUAGCUGGGGUUUCCCAUCUCUCCUCAUUGAUUGCUUCCAGCCCUCCACUGCUCCCUCUUAUUCAGCCUGUCCUCUCAGCAUUACAGGCCUACAGCAUCUUUUUAAGCAGCACCCAGGAAGCCUCAAAAGCUUUGUCUCCUUCGAGGACACUCCCUUAUUUGCUACAGCUGUUGCCAACUUACUGCUUUAGCUAAUCAGUUAGAAUUGCACCAAGAUAUUUAAAAGCUUGUGGCUGUACUUUUUAAUUUCAUGGGGGUAGAGGUGACUUUGUGAAAGUGUGAACAGAUAGGGGGAAGUUACUAAGUCUGCUUUAUUGACUUUAAAUUUCAUUGCUGUCUCUUAUUUCCUUAACACUUCUGAUAAACUUUCCCCCCAUAUUUUUGUAUGUGUUUUUUGUAUGUCUGUUAUGGUUACAUAUUUGUUCAGUUCACUUAUGAACACCUUGGUAACAUAUUCAUCCUCUGUGUUCCUGAAUCCUGCUCCAGCCAAUCCCAUAUUCAACAAAAGCCUUGCCCAUUCUGCAUGUAUCAGUUUAACAUGAGCCUUCUUGGUGAUCUUGGAUACUGCUUUACUCCUUUAUGACUCAACUUCCUACCUGUAAAAAUAGUGGGGAUACUCUGUUUGGAAUGACCAGUGCUUAUGAAGUUGUAGGGAAAAAGCAACUAGACCUGAAAGUAAAUAGAAAGAUAAAAAGAAAGAUCCAUAGUGUGGAAAGAGAAGCCAGUGAGAAGCCUCUGAUAAGCCAACUCUCCCUAGAACAAAUGCUCUCUGUUUGGAAACAUCUGCCUUAAAAGAUACUACCUGUUUGUAAAAAAAUACUACUAAUAAAGUGCUCAUAUGUCAAAUAUUGUAAGGAAUGUUUAAAAGCUUAUAAUAAACAUUCCUUGUAAAGUAACUAGGUUAUAAAUUUAAGCUGAAAAUAAUAUUGAAGAAUCAAAGCAUCUGCCUCUGUGGUUGAUAUGACAGAAUGGUGCAUGUGGAGCCAUAAGCACAUUAUAACAUUUGAUAUUUUUAAUCAAAUCCCAUUUUAAGAUGUGAUGUGUGUUACUCCACUAAAGGUCAUUUUAGUUACAGUAGCAUUAAGGGUUUUCAAUAAAACAUUUUAAAUGCCAGUUAUAUAACCGCUUUUAAAACAUUUAAAUGACACAUUGGUUACAUGACCUGAGCAAAGGAUAUUUUCUCAGCACUUUGAUAUUUUUUAGCUAGAUUGUCCUUAUGGAAACAUUCAGUUCCAUAAUGGCCUCAGGUCACCCCAUAAUAUGUGGUAUAGGAUUUUUUCACCAAAACAAUAAUUGCUAAUGAAGCCAGUGGUGAUGGAAGUUCAGUGACAUAGCAGAGGAUGGAGACUGCAGUCAAUAAUAGCAGCAGACACUGGCCAGUACAAGAAGUUCAUCAGCACUAUUCAAGGACAAAGGGAUGUAGCAAUAAGGAAUAAACAUGCACAGUCUUAGCACUGCAUGGACAUUAGAAAAAAAUAACUCAAGGAAACAGAAGUUUUUCCUCCUCUGCAUUUCCAAGAGUUUUUUACCAUUAAAACAUGCUAGAGUAUAAGAUAUAUUUAACAUAAUGCAAGAUUGUAGGAUAUAGUUUCAGGACUUCAUAGCCAGAUGCACCUGGGCACAUACAGAGAUAUACUACUCCAUACUUCUCCUGUGAGAUGAACAAGCUCCACAUGAUGUACAGGACACUCAUGCCAAAUCUUAUUAUUGAGGGUAGACAGCUAUUUCCUGUUAGGUUGUAUACAGAAAGAUAUGAGUGGAGCAGCAUUGUCAGCUGUCAUUGUCAUUGUCAUCUCCCCUGCCAACUCUUAGAUGCUGGACCUCAUUCCCAGACCCAGCAACCUUUUUGACUUGCAAUCCA